rnacentral:lncRNA from 1 species
GCGGCCGCCGCUCCCCGCACCGCCAGGCCGCGCCCCGCGGAGGAGGCAGGCCGGGCUGGGCACUCGGCCGUGUUAACCCCCACGGAUGGAGGCACUGCGGUGGACUCUCCCCGGGAUGUACCACCUCUUGGGAAGGAAUGUUUUCUGGCUGUCCAACCUAACUGUUCUAAGCUGAAGGAUAGGGCCUUUGUCUCUUGUUAUAUGCCCCAUUCAGGGAGGAGAGUUUCUCUCUGUUGUCCUUGUGUGUGCCCUCCGGGUGGUUUUAGACCACCAUUGAUUCAGCCCUCAGCCUCCCCUUUUCCAGUCUAAAUGAAAUGACAUUCCUUCAUCCUUCCAGCUAGCCCAUGUCCCUGAGCCAACCCACCUGCAUGUGUGAUGCCUUAUGUGUGAUGCCAUUUCAUUAUGGGACAGAGCAAGCACUGAUGGCAGCCAGUGGCUUAGGCAAGAUGGGGUGAGGUCUGUACCCCACCACUUCUGUAAAGAGCAGAGAUUCCCACUGAACCCUUUAUUUUGCAGAAUUGGCCUGGCAGCCUUUCCAGGUGAUGAAUAUUGGAGGAGGAAAUAGAAAUCGUUGUCCCUGGCUUUGCAGGGUUAAUCUCAGCACAGACACGUGUGCUGCUGCCUGUGUCCUCAGCGCCAGCCAGGAGGUGCACAGGAAAGAGCUGACGAGAGAGCUGCAGACUGGGAAAGACCCGUGAUGAUCACACCACGGACACAGGCUGACGUGGCUGGGAGAUGCAUGUAGGAACACACAACUGGACUCCCAGGCCAAAGGAACCAUGACACAGCUUGGUUUGCCACAGGCCUUGGGAACUCAGAGGCGCGCAGACAUACGUGAUGCACUGGCCUAACUGCAACAGCUUUUUAAUGCAGAGGCAGGGGACGUGCUGCUGUCUGGACAAAGCAUUAUGGGAACCUCAGGCACAAAUCUCCCAUCUUCAAAAGCACCAGGCACAGAAGGCUCUGCGCAUCAGGNGCCGCAGCCCCGCAGCCCGGCCGCCGCCGCCGCAGGGCCGGCGGGAGCGAGCCGCAGCCGGCGGC